rnacentral:rRNA from 1 species
CAGCCGCCGCGGUAAUACGAGGGGGGCAAGCGUUGUUCGGAAUUAUUGGGCGUAAAGGGCGCGUAGGCGGUUUGACAAGUUUGGUGUGAAAUCUAUGGGCUCAACCCAUAGCCUGCAUCGAAAACUGUCGGGCUUGAGUAUGGGAGAGGUGAGUGGAAUUUCCGGUGUAGCGGUGAAAUGCGUAGAUAUCGGAAGGAACACCUGUGGCGAAAGCGGCUCACUGGACCAUAACUGACGCUGAUGCACGAAAGCUAGGGGAGCAAACAGGAUUAGAUACCCCCGUAGUCCCUGUCUCUUAUAA